UACGGCGAGAAGCUGACAAGUGUUGAACAGGGUGAGUUAAAAUCAACUGGCCUCAGGAGUACCUAUGUAGUUGCAGGUCGCUCGCCACUCAAGUUCACGCUCAACACAUCUCAACUGGUGCCCUCCACUCGAUGUACUACCGGCCAGCCAAUAAAAUUGAAUUCGGAUUACGUGCCAGAAAGCAGUGACGAGAGAAAUGAAAAUAAGAUCGAAAAUGAUGUUCAGAACAUGGAUGGUAGUAUAACCACAAAGAAGUCGUAUAUAGCGCCAUCUCCAGCUGAUAAUCCACAUUAUAUUGAUGA